rnacentral:lncRNA from 1 species
AAUAUUUGAUAACACUCUGUCAGGUGCUUCGUUGCAAAAAACAGAUCACACUCUAGCCAGAAGUUGUUACAGGACGUUCACAUGCAGGGACAGAGCUCAGACCACAGGGCUGGAGGUCAGGGAGAGGUCAGUCUCCCCCCUCUGCUGUCCCUGAAGGUUAGAUGCCUUCCCCUCUACCUGCUCUUGUAAAGCGGGUGUCUGUUACUGAUACCUGCUUCUUACACUACUUUCCCCAGAAAUGAAAUGUCACGUGGAUCCACCGGUCGCCAGGGCUGAGGUCACAUGUCUACACCCGAGCUGCGAAGGAGGCUGGAAAGCUCCAAGCUCAUCUGGUCUCCUGAGAUCUGAGUUGGGGAAGAAGACGGUGAGGGAGAGGGGGUCUCGAUAUCUGACAGGUAAACUUGGAUUUAAUUUCCUGUUUUGGGUCUUCCCUCUGCAGAGGCCCUUGGUGUC